rnacentral:rRNA from 1 species
UUCCAGACUCCUACGGGAGGCAGCAGUGAGGAAUAUUGGUCAAUGGCCGUAAGGCUGAACCAGCCAAGUAGCGUGAGGGAAGACUGCCCUAUGGGUUGUAAACCUCUUUUAUGCGGGGAUAAAGGUGUCCACGUGUGGAUGUUUGCAGGUACCGCAUGAAUAAGGACCGGCUAAUUCCGUGCCAGCAGCCGCGGUAAUACGGAAGGUCCGGGCGUUAUCCGGAUUUAUUGGGUUUAAAGGGUGCGCAGGCGGAGGUGCAAGUCAGCGGUCAAAUUGCGGGGCUCAACCCCGUCGAGCCGUUGAAACUGGCAGACUUGAGUUGGCGAGAAGUACGCGGAAUGCGCGGUGUAGCGGUGAAAUGCAUAGAUAUCGCGCAGAACUCCGAUUGCGAAGGCAGCGUACCGGCGCCAGACUGACGCUGAGGCACGAAAGCGUGGGUAUCGAACAGGAUUAGAUACCCUCGUAG